rnacentral:lncRNA from 1 species
ACAAAAACAAUUUAUCCUUUCACUAUGUCAUAUCUGAAAUUAAUCUAACUAUCAUCACCAAAAAUACAAAUUCAAAUAUCACAAAACUUUCAACCUAAUUUGAAAUAACCGCAUCUACUAACAAAUCCACAUCAAGAUUAAAGAUAAAUCAACAUUUAGAACCUAACCUGAGUCGAUUCAUCACAAAACACAUGCGAAAAUCCUUCGAAAAGAUCAAAAUAUAACAGAACAAAGUAAAAUCAAAACUACAAAAACAAUUUAUCCUUUCACUAUCCCGAAAAAUGAAAAAAUAUAUCAAAACAUCCCACAGAACAAACUAAAAUAAAAAGUACAUAACAAUCUAUCUUUUCACUAUUCCAUAUCUAAAAUUGACCUAACUAUCAUAAUUUUCAUUGAACUACAACACUUAUCAUCCCCAAAAAUGACCUAAAUAUCAUAAUUAUCACACAACCAU